rnacentral:rRNA from 1 species
GACGAACGCUGGCGGCGUGCUUAACACAUGCAAGUCGAACGGAUCAUCAGGUUUUCGGAUUUGGUGGUGAGUGGCGAACGGGUGAGUAACACGUGAGUAACCUGCCCCGGACUUUGGGAUAACGACUCGAAAGGGUUGCUAAUACCGGAUAUUGAACUGUUGCCGCAUGGUGGUGGUUUGAAAGUUUUUUCGGUUCGGGAUGGGCUCGCGGCCUAUCAGCUUGUUGGUGGGGUGAUGGCCUACCAAGGCGUCGACGGGUAGCCGGCCUGAGAGGGCGACCGGGCCACACUGGGACUGAGAUACGGCCCAGACUCCUACGGGAGGCAGCAGUGGGGGAAUAUUGCACAAUGGACGGAAGUCUGAUGCAGCAACGCCGCGUGCGGGAUGAAGGCCUUCGGUUGUAACGCUUCACUCCGCGAUUGACGGUAGGAGGAGAGAAGACACCGGCUAACUACGUGCCAGCAGCCGCGGUAACUAGUGUGGUGUA